AACUAUUUAAAAAAUUUCAGAGUGUUCAGUUUUAGACGCGCACACAUGUAUGACAAAAGUGUCUUGCAAAACUUUAUAGAAGAUAUCAAUUACCUGCACGGAAUCAACUCCUUAUUCCUGCAAACAAGUUAAAAUGUCAAGUCUAUUCCUAACUUCCAAGUGAAUGCAUGCAAACUACUGUCCUCUUAGAAAUGUUUCUUGAAAAUAAUUGAUAUAACAUUUAGUUCACAAAACGAUCUCGGAACCCCAAGAGAGAACCUCCGUGUAUGUACCUUUAUUGGACGAAUGUAAAAUGCCGUUUUUUAUGGGACUCUUAUUAAAAUAUGUUCACAGCUUGGUCAGAACACUUCAACCUGGAUACAGCAACGCAAAAAAAAGGAUUGACCUAGAAAAAUAAUAUGCUCGUAUGGAGGAAAAUAAAGUCCAUAUUUUUAACCUAUAAAUGUAGGUACAUACCUUUGAGAGAAUGUGAACAUCCCAUGGGCUAUUUAAAUACUAUUACAAUUACCAUUAUGUUUGGAGUGAGUACUUACCACGUAGAUCAAUGUGACGUUACUUUUGUUAUUUCAAAAACAAUGGAUCAAAAACUAUUUUGGUUUCAAAAUCCACACUGCUUCUUGAUGGGGAAAAAAUACUGGUCAAAAUAUUUGAUUGCUUGAAAAGUGUUCUCAGGACUCUGCUCUAUAAAGUAAGAUGGAGUGAGUUUCACUGGUAAAAUAUUAAAGUAUUGGAAUUACCACAUCCGACUAUGUUGCAACUGUUUCCUCCACAUUUCAAUCUCCCACUCCGCCAAAAAUGGAAAAAUGACCAAAAUUAGUUGGUAACAACUCAUCUUAUUUUUGUAUAUUUUUUAUUUAUUAUAUACAAAUAUGUUUUGAAGUUUUCUUUAAUUGGUCAAAUGGAGCUGCAAUGAUUAAGCAUAAAUAAACAUUAUAGUAUGACAAUUUUUCACUGAUUAACAAGAACUAAUUUGAGUUUCAAGAUUUAAUAUUCAGGCCACUUUUAAGUAGCAAUAAAAGUAUUAAAUGACUAACUAAGAAAA
rnacentral:lncRNA from 1 species